rnacentral:rRNA from 1 species
UACGUAGGUGGCAAGCGUUGUCCGGAUUUACUGGGCGUAAAGAGCGCGCAGGCGGUCGUUCAAGUCGCGUGUGAAAGCCCCCGGCUCAACUGGGGAGGGUCACGCGAUACUGAUCGACUCGAAGGCAGGAGAGGGAAGUGGAAUUCCCGGUGUAGUGGUGAAAUGCGUAGAUAUCGGGAGGAACACCAGUGGCGAAGGCGACUACCUGGCCUGUUUCUUGACGCUGAGGCGCGAAAGCUAGGGGAGCAACGGG